CUCUUCUUUAUAACCCUGAACAUCUUUCUCUUUGGGUACAUCGAAAAUCUCACUCCACCGCUCCAACCCUUCACCGCCGCACCCCCACCAUUGUCACCACCACUGUCACUACCAUCACAGAUCCUUUGUAUUUUCCGGAGGUAAGUGGGGUUCCGAAGGCAACACGAGUGGAUGAUCUAGUUUGUGAUGGAGAGCGAUGACUGCAACGCCACAGCCGCGCUCAAUUAAACGAUCAGUGAUUUGGGGGUUUUCGUGAUCAGGAGCGAAGUGGAGUAGGGUCAGUUCUAGGGUUUCAAGGCUGAAGUUGACGGCGGUACUCGAUGGCACCUUCCUUUCCAAUGAAACCCUAAAUCGAUCCUUGCCUUUUUUCCAUAUUAUUAUUCCGGCGAGUCGAAGCAGAUAAUCGGGAAAGUGAUGGUUCUUGACGGCUGAGUAGUGUCUACAAGAAUUAAGUUAAUUCUGAAAGCUGGAUGACGGUGGCGAUAGUACACAAUGUAUACGUUUAAAGAGGAUGUUCGUGGGGAGUUUCCUAUUGGUCAAUGGGGUGUUGGGAGAUGCUCGAAUCAGGACGGAAAAUUGCAACACAGAGAUAACAGGAGAAAAAAGCGUCUUAGAGAGGUCGAUGAAGGACAACGGUGAGGAGUCGAGACCAAGUCUUGGCUUAUAUAUCCAACAUUGAGGUCCAACAUGAGUCUGCAAGAAAUUGGCCAGAAAAUAUGGCAAUUUUAGCCUGUUGAGUGCACGUAAGAAAAAGAGAAAUGGGGGUGAACCAUUUGCAUUUGAAGAUGAGCUCUUUCACAAUGCCUUACCACACCGCACCCCACAUGCCCUCUAAAUCUUCAGCAAUGGAAGGCGGCUAAGCUGAACUGAAUGGGACCAAACGCUGUGAUUAUUUCGAGGGUAUAUUGGUAUCUUUUCAUGUACGUGAUACCUAUUCUUACGGGAAAUUUCGGUAACGGUUCAAAUCAAGCCAAGACCGCCGUAAAUGUCGAUUUAUUUACAUUUAAUUAAGGACAUUCAAUUUCGGUAAAGUGAACUAAAUAAUGAUGGUUAAUACACUUUGAUUUUCUUUUGCUGUAUGUGCCUAAAUAAUGGCUAUCUUGGUUGUAUCCGAAGUUGAUAAUACUUAUAUCAAUUGCCUUAUGUGAAUAUACGGUUUUGCCGCCGCAAAGCGCGGCAGGG